rnacentral:lncRNA from 1 species
AUAAUCUUCAUGAAAAACAAGGGAGAUUUUCUUGUAGAAUUUAAAGAUGUUAUCAAUUUUGUACGUAUUUGGUAUCUGCACAUAGCAGUAUUUGCGUAUAUUAGAACAUGUCACAAUAACAUAUGAGGAAGGCACGUUAAAAGCUUGAAGUUUUUCAUAGUCACUCCACUGCCUCUGGAGAUUGGCGUUGAAAUGUCCUAUAAGACGACCCUCAUUAUAAUUCAUGGUUUCAUGAAAAAUUAAAUAAAAUCUAUGUUGGUCAUAUUGCAUAAUACUGCGAGUGUUGAAUUUUAGAACUUCUUCUACAAUCCCUUUAUUGCAAUUUUGUCUGACCUUCCUUGAAGCCAAUUUUUUGUCCAAUCAUGUCCUUGUUUCUCAAACAAUGAUCCCUACCUAUAAUAUAUUGAUUUUGCCAAAGUUGUAAUAGGUAAGUUACAUGUGAAUUUAAGCAUCAAGAUCAUUGAAUCGACAAGUUUGGUUAUCAAGUGGCCCCUUCUCCGACCUCCAUCAUACACUCGAGUCCAUUUUUCUUUCAGAAUCUUAUAUACCCACCUCAAAGCUUAUAUGUAUGCUUGGCGUAUUUUCUAACGA